UACAGAGGGGGCAAGCGUUGUUCGGAAUUACUGGGCGUAAAGGGCGCGUAGGCGGCCUGUUAAGUCGAACGUGAAAUCCCCGGGCUCAACCCGGGAACUGCGUCCGAUACUGGCAGGCUUGAAUCCGGGAGAGGGAUGCGGAAUUCCAGGUGUAGCGGUGAAAUGCGUAGAUAUCUGGAGGAACACCGGUGGCGAAGGCGGCAUCCUGGACCGGUAUUGACGCUGAGGCGCGAAAGCUAGGGGAGCAAACAGG
rnacentral:rRNA from 1 species